AGAGUUUGAUCAUGGCUCAGGAUGAACGCUAGCGGCAGGCUUAAUACAUGCAAGUCGAGGGGCAGCAGGGGUAGCAAUACUCGCUGGCGACCGGCAAACGGGUGCGGAACACGUACGCAACCUUCCCAUAACUGGUGAAUAGCCCUCCGAAAGGAGGAUUAAUACACCGUAACAUAACGAAGUGGCAUCACUUUGUUAUUAUAGCUUCGGCGGUUUUGGAUGGGCGUGCGCCUGAUUAGGUAGUUGGCGGGGUAACGGCCCACCAAGCCUGCGAUCAGUAACUGGUGUGAGAGCACGACCAGUCACACGGGCACUGAGACACGGGCCCGACUCCUACGGGAGGCAGCAGUAAGGAAUAUUGGUCAAUGGACGCAAGUCUGAACCAGCCAUGCCGCGUGAAGGAUGAAGGCCCUCUGGGUUGUAAACUUCUUUUAUCUGGGACGAAAAAAGGGGAUUCUUCCUCACUUGACGGUACCAGAGGAAUAAGCACCGGCUAACUCCGUGCCAGCAGCCGCGGUAAUACGGAGGGUGCAAGCGUUAUCCGGAUUUACUGGGUUUAAAGGGUGCGUAGGUGGGUUGGUAAGUCAGUGGUGAAAUCUUCGAGCUUAACUCGGAAACUGCCAUUGAUACUAUCAAUCUUGAAUAUCCUGGAGGUGAGCGGAAUAUGUCAUGUAGCGGUGAAAUGCUUAGAUAUGACAUAGAACACCCAUUGCGAAGGCAGCUCACUACGGGAUUAUUGACACUGAGGCACGAAAGCGUGGGGAUCAAACAGGAUUAGAUACCCUAGUAGUCC
rnacentral:rRNA from 1 species